GACGAACGCUGGCGGCGUGCCUAACACAUGCAAGUCGAGCGAAUGAAGUUCCUUCGGGAAUGGAUUUAGCGGCGGACGGGUGAGUAACACGUGGGCAACCUGCCUCAUAGAGGGGAAUAGCCUUCCGAAAGGGAGAUUAAUACCGCAUAAGAUUGUAGUAUCGCAUGAUACAGCAAUUAAAGGAGCAAUCCGCUAUGAGAUGGGCCCGCGGCGCAUUAGCUAGUUGGUGAGGUAACGGCUCACCAAGGCGACGAUGCGUAGCCGACCUGAGAGGGUGAUCGGCCACAUUGGGACUGAGACACGGCCCAGACUCCUACGGGAGGCAGCAGUUGGGAAUAUUGCACAAUGGGGGAAACCCUGAUGCAGCAACGCCGCGUGAGUGAGGACGGCCUUCGGGUUGUAAAGCUCUGUCUUCAGGGACGAUAAUGACGGUACCUGAGGAGGAAGCCACGGCUAACUACGUG
rnacentral:rRNA from 1 species